AUGUAUACUUAAUCAAGUGUGUUUGGGAUAUCAUCAAACUUAAUAUAAUUGUGAAAGGAUUGAAAUGACUUAUUUAUUUAUUUAUUUAUUUAUUUAUUUAUUUAUUUAUUUAUUUUAUUUUUGAAAUGACAUAUUUAGAGCUUGGUUUUAAAAAAACCAAACAGUUGCUUCUGUUGCAUUUCACUUGUUUUUAACUUGUCAGAGGAUAAAACUUUAUAAUAGGGGAAAGAUAGAGUAAGGUAAGGUAAAGCAGAAUCAAACACAACAUUUAUUUUCUUGCUCUAAGUUUGGGGAUUCUUGCUCCUUAAUGAAACAUUCUUUUGUUUUACUACUGAAAAAUAAUUGCAUGUUAUGUGAACAAUAUGGAAGAUAUUUAGUAACCUGCAAGCAAACCUCAGAACUACAGAAUGAACUUCUCUCUACAAGACUAUGGCAUUGCAGGAGGAGGAGGAGCAGAGCUUCUGUUGGCCUGGAGACCUUAUUCACUGUAAUAGGAGACUGGCUGCUGCCUUGAAAAGCAGACACCAAUUCACAGAAGGCUUGAGGUGCAACAUUUAGACAGUUCCCAACAAGCCUGUCAUCCAUGCCUGCCUGUCCUGUUUGGUGACAUCCAGUUGCUAUGCUUCUCAAAGGGCUCCCCCUGCCUCUGGGAUGGCUCACAGAGAUUGUUGCAGAUUUAGUUCAAGUUAUUGGGAGUGCUGCAUCGUGAUCCAGAACAGAAGGCUGGGAUUUCUGGACUGCUCUAUUAAAGGCAUUUUGGAGCCACAGAGAUCAGUGCAACCAACUACAUUUUACAUUCAUGUAAAGAUGGUCAAUAUAUAGAAAACAUUUCUUUUAGUUCUAUAUAUUAAUGUCUGUUUUAAUUGUGUGUAUAGGGGUGGGAAGUGAGAGAGAAGAAGUGACAAAUAAUCUUUUCCAUUACUAAGCAGGGUAGCAUUAAACAAGCUAAGGAUAGGGCAAUGGAAUGGUUCAAACAGGCUAUUUAAAGCCAUAUAUAAUCAUAGCUGGG
rnacentral:lncRNA from 1 species